rnacentral:tRNA from 1 species
CAUUAAGAAGCUAUACAGCAUUAACCUUUUAAGUUAAAGACUGAGAGUGCAAGCCUCUCCUUAAUGA